UACGUAGGUGGCGAGCGUUGUCCGGAUUUACUGGGCGUAAAGCGCGUGCAGGCGGGCUGGUCAGUCCGGGGUGAAAUCUCACGGCUCAACCGUGAGCGGUCCCCGGAUACUGCCAGUCUUGAGGUGUCUAGAGGAGAGCGGAAUUCCCGGUGUAGUGGUGGAAUGCGUAGAUAUCGGGAAGAACACCAGUGGCGAAAGCGGCUCUCUGGG
rnacentral:rRNA from 1 species